UUGCCUUUAGUUGCCAUCAGGUAAAGCUGGGCACUCUAAAGGGACUGCCGGUGACAAACCGGAGGAAGGUGGGGAUGACGUCAAAUCAUCAUGCCCCUUAUGUCUUGGGCUACACACGUGCUACAAUGGCCGGUACAACGGGCAGCGAACCCGCAAGGGGGAGCGAAUCCCUAAAAGCCGGUCCCAGUUCGGAUUGUGGGCUGCAACUCGCCCACAUGAAGCUGGAGUUGCUAGUAAUCGCGAAUCAGAACGUCGCGGUGAAUGCGUUCCCGGGUCUUGUACACACCGCCCGUCGACACCAUGAGAGUCGGCAACACCCGAAGCCAGUGGGCUAACCGUAAGGAGGCCAGCUGUCGAAGGUGGGGCCGAUGAUUGGGGUG
rnacentral:rRNA from 1 species